GAUGAAGAACGUAGCGAAAUGCGAUACUUGGUGUGAAUUGCAGAAUCCCGUGAACCAUCGAGUCUUUGAACGCAAGUUGCGCCCGAAGCCAUUAGGCCGAGGGCACGCCUGCCUGGGCGUCACACGUCGUUGCCCCCCCAUCUACUCCUUCGGGAUUGCAGGGGGCGGAUGAUGGCCUCUCGUGCGCCUCGUCGCGCGGUUGGCCUAAAUGCCAAGUCCUCGGCGACGCACGCCACGACAAUCGGUGGUUGCGAAACCUCGGUUGCCUGUCGUGUGCGGUCGUCGCGCAUCGAGGGCUCGAAAAAAUUGCCGGGCUUCGGCUCGACUUUCAACGCGACCCCAGGUCAGGCGGGGUUACCCGCUGAAUUUAAGCAUAUCAAUAAGCGGAGGA
rnacentral:misc_RNA from 1 species